GCCCACCUCUGGAAGUCAAGGUGGGGAUGCAUGACCUAAAGCCAAACCUGGAAGCUGUGUAAAUAAAUACGCCUGGUCUAAGAAGGAUGUAGCACUGAAGCCUCAGGAACGCGUGGAGAAGCGUCAGAACCCUCUCGCCAAGAAGAAACGGGAAGCACUUACCAACGGGCUGUCGUUCCACCCAAAAAAGAACAGACUUCACCACCACCAGUACAGCUCGGAUCGAGAAAAUGAUCGUAAUCUUUGCCAGCACCUUGGGAAAAGGAAGAAACUACCAAAGGGCAUCAGACAGCUCAAGCCAGGUCAAAACAGUUGCCGAGACAGUGACAGCGAAAGCGCCAGCGGAGAAUCGAAAGGUUUCCAUCGAAGUAGCUCUCGGGAAAGACUCAGUGACAGCUCAGCUCCUUCCAGCUUGGGAACAGGCUACUUUUGGUCUCAAAUUGCUAAGAACUUCUUCUAUCAUGAACCAGAAAACUGCCGAGAAAUCAUCAGGGCUGUUU
rnacentral:lncRNA from 1 species